GGGGGGGGGGGCUAAUACAUGCAAGUCGAGCGAAUGGAUUAAGAGCUUGCUCUUAUGAAGUUAGCGGCGGACGGGUGAGUAACACGUGGGUAACCUGCCCAUAAGACUGGGAUAACUCCGGGAAACCGGGGCUAAUACCGGAUAACAUUUUGAACCGCAUGGUUCGAAAUUGAAAGGCGGCUUCGGCUGUCACUUAUGGAUGGACCCGCGUCGCAUUAGCUAGUUGGUGAGGUAACGGCUCACCAAGGCAACGAUGCGUAGCCGACCUGAGAGGGUGAUCGGCCACACUGGGACUGAGACACGGCCCAGACUCCUACGGGAGGCAGCAGUAGGGAAUCUUCCGCAAUGGACGAAAGUCUGACGGAGCAACGCCGCGUGAGUGAUGAAGGCUUUCGGGUCGUAAAACUCUGUUGUUAGGGAAGAACAAGUGCUAGUUGAAUAAGCUGGCACCUUGACGGUACCUAACCAGAAAGCCACGGCUAACUACGUGCCAGCAGCCGCGGUAAUACGUAGGUGGCAAGCGUUAUCCGGAAUUAUUGGGCGUAAAGCGCGCGCAGGUGGUUUCUUAAGUCUGAUGUGAAAGCCCACGGCUCAACCGUGGAGGGUCAUUGGAAACUGGGAGACUUGAGUGCAGAAGAGGAAAGUGGAAUUCCAUGUGUAGCGGUGAAAUGCGUAGAGAUAUGGAGGAACACCAGUGGCGAAGGCGACUUUCUGGUCUGUAACUGACACUGAGGCGCGAAAGCGUGGGGAGCAAACAGGAUUAGAUCUGGGGGGGUGUUC
rnacentral:rRNA from 1 species